rnacentral:rRNA from 1 species
GAUGAACGCUAGCGGCAGGCCUAAUACAUGCAAGUCGAACGGGAUUGAGGAGCUUGCUCCUCAUGAGAGUGGCGCACGGGUGCGUAACACGUAUGUAACCUACCUUAAUCAGGGGAAUAGCCUCUCGAAAGAGAGAUUAAGACCGCAUAAAAUCACACUAUGGCAUCAUAGAAUGAUCAAAUAUUUAUAGGAUUAAGAUGGGCAUGCGGAACAUUAGCUAGUUGGUAAGGUAACGGCUUACCAAGGCUACGAUGUUUAGGGGAUCUGAGAGGAUGGCCCACCACACUGGUACUGCGACACGGACCAGACUCCUACGGGAGGCAGCAGUAAGGAAUAUUGGUCAAUGGGCGGAAGCCUGAACCAGCCAUGCCGCGUGCAGGAAGACGGCCCUACGGGUUGUAAACUGCUUUUGUACCGGAAUAAACCUACUUACGUGUAAGUAGCUGAAUGUACGGUAAGAAUAAGGAUCGGCUAACUCCGUGCCAGCCGCCGCGGUAA